ACCCACCAGCAACGGCUGUCCAUUGCGUUAUGAAAGCCCUCCUACAUAGGAAUUGGUUACCACAGCCUACAUAAUAUCUGUGUUUUUAAAAAACGCAUUGUGUUCAAGCUUUGGUCACACAGAUCCCCUGUUAACAAGGCUACGAAACAUUUUCACCUGUUUUUCUCACUGUACAGGACGACUUUUCCAGUUUGAGUAAAAAUAAGUGCAGUCGUCACGUUGCGCUAGAAGGCACGCUCAGUUACCGCCCCUCUUACUGUUUUUCGUUUGAUUGUUUUGCAUUCAUGACGUAGAAGUGUUUUUCCUAGACAAAUAUUUCCUGUACCAAUGGCUUUUUACUGCGUAAGCAUAGCAGGUCCGUCGUAAACCGAGAACACUCUGGCCAUUUACAUACUCCCGUGUCUCAUGUGCAAGCCCUCCGUGUUGCUUGACUGCCCCCUGCUGGGAGAACGGUAAUAUUACGUAGAAUAUGUCACAUCCGGCUAAUCUUAACGUUCUUUCCUUGUACAAUGGCGAGUACUUCACUUUACUUCAGGAAUCCACUGUCAUCCUUCUUAAAUUAUCAAAUGUUUUACGUUAUGUUUCCUUACAGGAGUAGAAACUAACUUUAAAGGUGUGUGAAGCGUAGUUGUAUUGUUUUAUGUAGUUGAUUUGUGCCUAUCUGGCGUGUACUAUGCUUGCCGACAUCAUCAAAACGAAACAUGGCUUCAAUUUUUCGAAUUGUAUUUUGGUGUGUUGUUUCACAUACAUUUUUUCAGCAGACGACUGAUACCGACGCAGUCUGGUAAGAUAGUUGUCCUUGUUUGGAUGUGGCGUAGAAUCGUGCAGUUCGUUUUUUUUUUUUAAGUUAUUGAAAUGGCAGUUAGGCAUUUUACAAAACAAUGUAUGGCUGCAGACCUUGCAUCGAGACUCAGCCAGCGUUGGCUCUGCUCUUUCUAUAACAGUCUGCUAGAGAGAUGUUUGAGGCCGUUUGAGGCCCUGUUGUGGAACAACACAGUAGGGUUAUAGGACUCAAAUCACCAGAUUUAAUAAAGCACGAGGUUUUCAUGACUGAAAAGGUGAAACGAUGGCCUACCAAGCUCACCCCUCCUGACUGACAUUUGGGGACUGGUGUAGAACUUGGCGAAGAAAAAAAAAUCAGGAUUGACAAGGUGCUGUAAACGCCUGCCAUGUUUGCAAGUCGUCCCAACUGACCUGUGGGACUUGUGUCGAAUUUGGAUGAAAAGCACAAGAGUCAGACAAUGGUGCAAAACGCCCAGCGACGCAACAAAAGUUAUUUUGCUUGGAUAUGAAGUGCUCUACGGUGCAAGUUGUUUGUAAGCUUAACUGUAAAUAUUUCAUUUCAGCUGUGAAU